rnacentral:rRNA from 1 species
UACGGAGGGUGCGAGCGUUGUCCGGAAUCAUUGGGCGUAAAGGGCGCGUAGGUGGCCCGGUCAGUCUUUGGUGAAAGCGCGGGGCUCAACCCUGCGUCGGCCAGGGAUACUGCCGCGGCUCGAGCACUGUAGAGGCAGGCGGAAUUCCGGGUGUAGCGGUGGAAUGCGUAGAGAUCCAGAAGAACACCGGUGGCGAAGGCGGCCUGCUGGGCAGUUGCUGACACUGAGGCGCGACAGCGUGGGGAGCAAACAGG